rnacentral:rRNA from 1 species
UACGGAGGGUGCGAGCGUUGUCCGGAAUCACUGGGCGUAAAGGGCGCGUAGGCGGCCUGAUAAGUAGGGGGUGAAAUCUUGCGGCUUAACCGCAAGGCUGCCUUCUAAACUGUCAGGCUAGAGCACAGUAGAGGCAGGUGGAAUUCCCGGUGUAGCGGUGGAAUGCGUAGAGAUCGGGAAGAACAUCAGUGGCGAAGGCGGCCUGCUGGGCUGUUGCUGACGCUGAGGCACGACAGCGUGGGGAGCAAACAGG